rnacentral:rRNA from 1 species
GUCUACGGCCAUACCACGUUGAAAACACCGGUUCUCGUCUGAUCACCGAAGUUAAGCAACGUCGGGCCAAGUUAGUACUUGGAUGGUUGACCGCCUGGGAAUACCGGACUCUUCUUUU